GAUGAACGCUGGCGGCGUGCCUAAUACAUGCAAGUCGAGCGAACGGACGAGAAGCUUGCUUCUCUGAUGUUAGCGGCGGACGGGUGAGUAACACGUGGAUAACCUACCUAUAAGACUGGGAUAACUUCGGGAAACCGGAGCUAAUACCGGAUAAUAUUUUGAACCGCAUGGUUCAAAAGUGAAAGACGGUCUUGCUGUCACUUAUAGCUGGAUCCGCGCUGCAUUAGCUAGUUGGUAAGGUAACGGCUUACCAAGGCAACGAUGCAUAGCCGACCUGAGAGGGUGAUCGGCCACCCUGGAACUGAGGCACGGUCCCGACUCCUACGGGAGGCAGCAGUAGGGAAUCUUCCGCAAUGGGCGAGAGCCUGACGGAGCAACGCCGCGUGAGUGAUGAAGGUCUUCGGAUCGUAAAGCUCUGUUAUUAGGGAAGAACAUAUGUGUAAGUAACUGUGCACAUCUUGACGGUACCUAAUCAGAAAGCCACGGCUAACUACGUG
rnacentral:rRNA from 1 species